UACUCGCCUAGAGCUUGAGCUGCUGUCGACGAGUAUCGUUCGGUUAGAUGGUGCGAGCCGGUUGCACCGAGAUUCAACAUGGAACGAGUGGCGGACGGGUGAGUAACACGUGGGUAACCUGCCCUUAAGUGGGGGAUAACAUUUGGAAACAGAUGCUAAUACCGCAUAGAUCCAAGAACCGCAUGGUUCUUGGCUGAAAGAUGGCGUAAGCUAUCGCUUUUGGAUGGACCCGCGGCGUAUUAGCUAGUUGGUGAGGUAAUGGCUCACCAAGGCGAUGAUACGUAGCCGAACUGAGAGGUUGAUCGGCCACAUUGGGACUGAGACACGGCCCAAACUCCUACGGGAGGCAGCAGUAGGGAAUCUUCCACAAUGGACGCAAGUCUGAUGGAGCAACGCCGCGUGAGUGAAGAAGGCUUUCGGGUCGUAAAACUCUGUUGUUGGAGAAGAAUGGUCGGCAGAGUAACUGUUGUCGGCGUGACGGUAUCCAACCAGAAAGCCACGGCUAACUACGUGCCAGCAGCCGCGGUAAUACGUAGGUGGCAAGCGUUAUCCGGAUUUAUUGGGCGUAAAGCGAGCGCAGGCGGUUUUUUAAGUCUGAUGUGAAAGCCCUCGGCUUAACCGAGGAAACCGCAUCGGAAACUGGGAAACUUGAGUGCAGAAGAGGACAGUGGGAACUCCAUGUGUAGCGGUGAAAUGCGUAGAUAUAUGGAAGAACACCAGUGGGCGAAGGCGGCUGUCUGGUCUGUAACUGACGCUGAGGCUCGAAAGCAUGGGGUAGCGAACAGGAUUAAUAUAUCCUGGUAGUCCCAUGCCGUAAACGAUUGAAUGCU
rnacentral:rRNA from 1 species